GGAUGCUUGGACAUAUACAAGGGAAAUGUUAUAAACUUCAUGGAUAUCCUCCAGGACAUAGGUUGGCAAAGGACAGAAGCAAGGAACCAAUUUCAAGUGCACAUCAAGCAACUGGAAAUGCUAAUUCUUCUGAUCUGUCAAAUGGUUUCUCAAGUUUGACUAUCACACCGGAACAAUGCCAACAAGUUCUCAAUAUACUGAAGCCACAACUUCACACUCAA
rnacentral:lncRNA from 1 species